rnacentral:misc_RNA from 1 species
CUCGCAAACAGUGGGCACCAGUUUAUUUUCGUGGCACUUUCUUUGCUGCACUUUCUUCAAACCAAGGGGUCAGCUCUUUUUUUGAUGGGUAUGUAAAUCAACAAACCACAAUACCUCUGUUUUUUAAGCAGUAUGAAAGAGCUCUUGAGCAUUCUCUAGAAAAAGAAAUAGAAGCAGAUUAUGAUACAAUUUGCACCACUCCAGUGCUUAAGACGCCAUCACCAAUGGAACAACAGGCAGCAAACCUCUAUACCAAGAAAGUGUUUGCAA